UUGAGGAAAACGACCUUGAAGGGGUU
rnacentral:piRNA from 1 species